AAGGUGUGGUGGGAUAUUACAGAAUUUUUUGUUUUGGUGUUAUUGCUUCGGAGCCUGGUGGGUCCCUCCAAGACAACCAUUCAAAUGCAAUAAUGCCAGUUAGGGAAGAGGUGCAGCAUGCGGUGGCCGCGCUGGAUCGGGUCAGGGGCCAUCUGAAGGACCCCGAGGCCCCGUCGGCGGACCCCCAGAUUGGAGUCCAGCUGGCCAAGCUGUCGGCGUUCCUCGAGGACCCCAUGCUGGCCAGGAUGCUUACUA